CACAAAAUCUCAAUUCUUUAUUUUGUCCAGUGAAAGUCUGCUUUCUUGCCUCUUCUUUGUAGGCUAAGGCCAACUGCAUGAAAUGAGUUUCUAAAAGUACUAAAGAGGUAAUACCACACUUUAAUUCCAACUGUCAUUUGACUAGUUUGGAAUAUGAUCCUUAUUAGUGAAGCUCUGUUAUUCUGGCUUUUAUUUCCUCUUGAUCCCCACCAACUUUACGGCUAUCUUCAAUAGCUACUACACCUUCCUUCUUAUUUAUGGUUUCUGAACGCUGGCAACAGUGCUUGAAAUUUUCCUGGGUGAGUCAGAUGCUAAAAUUAGGGCAGCCACUCUCUCUUACAAAACCCAAACCCUGCCCCACUCUCUCUUCUCCGCAGUUUGCUCCUGGGCUGCCAGCUCCUACAGCGCUCCCUUUGCCAUCUCAAGUUUUCCAUGCAGCCAACAGACCACGGUGAAGAGCUGUGAAGUGGAAGUAAAUAGUCAAGUGCCAGCUGACUGGGCUACGCUCAUAGCAGCAAAACUCAGAAGCUAAAAGGGCAGGUGAAUGUUGGUCUGGCUUGCGGCCAGCACUGUCCCAUAGAAUGACGGACAUUUGGGAAUUUCAUGGGUGAGCUGAAUCUGUUACGUCACAUUUUCCAAUGGCACAUUCUUAAAAAGCAAAAGGGAGCAGGUCUCUUAAUGAGAUGAUUAUCAGAUUCAAAGGGAGACUGGAGACUCACCCCUUCAAACUUGGCAGUUGUACCCCAUCUCUCUAAACAGCUGCUGUCAUAACUAACAUGCAUGUGCCUUUUUUUGUGUAGAGAGCCACUAGUCCCUCUUGUCCCUUAAAUAAAUAAAAGGUCAAAUACACAGCUGAGCUCUGCCUCCCUCCUCCUUCCCGGCCAGAGGUAAUCUCUCUCUAGAGGCUGGUGUGUUCUUUCUAAAGACCAGACUCAAGUCAUCGUUGGCAAGUGUGGGAGAGCCCCAUGGGAGUGUGAUGACUAAUCAGUGCUGGUCUCUGGGGACAGCUGGCCACUUGCUUAUUCACCAUAGUAAAGGACACAUAAGCCUCAGUAAUCUUUUCAAAUCACUUUGAAUUGCUUGGCUCAAAUCCAUGCACCUCAGUCCCACAUCUUGUGC